UACGGAGGGAGCUAGCGUUGUUCGGAAUUACUGGGCGUAAAGCGCACGUAGGCGGCUUUGUAAGUUAGAGGUGAAAGCCCGGGGCUCAACCCCGGAAUUGCCUUUAAGACUGCGUCGCUUGAAUCCAGGAGAGGUGAGUGGAAUUCCGAGUGUAGAGGUGAAAUUCGUAGAUAUUCGGAAGAACACCUGUGGCGAAAGCGGCUCACUGGACAGUAACUGACGCUGAUGCACGAAAGCUAGGGGAGCAAACAGG
rnacentral:rRNA from 1 species